rnacentral:rRNA from 1 species
UACGAAGGGGGCUAGCGUUGUUCGGAGUUACUGGGCGUAAAGGGCGCGUAGGCGGCCCUCCAAGUCGGGUGUGAAAGCCCGCGGCUCAACCGCGGAAUUGCACUCGAGACUGAAGGGCUCGAGGACGGGAGAGGAUGGUGGAAUUCCCAGUGUAGAGGUGAAAUUCGUAGAUAUUGGGAAGAACACCGGUGGCGAAGGCGACCAUCUGGACGGAUACUGACGCUGAGACGCGAAAGCGUGGGUAGCAAACAGG